GCAGUAGCCCAGUGGCAGAACACCAGUCCCAGGUUCAAAUCCUGGCAUCUCCA
rnacentral:tRNA from 1 species